UAGGGAAUCUUCCACAAUGGACGAAAGUCUGAUGGAGCAACGCCGCGUGAGUGAUGAAGGGUUUCGGCUCGUAAAACUCUGUUGUUGGAGAAGAACGGGUGUCAGAGUAACUGUUGACAUCGUGACGGUAUCCAACCAGAAAGCCACGGCUAACUACGUGCCAGCAGCCGCGGUAAUACGUAGGUGGCAAGCGUUGUCCGGAUUUAUUGGGCGUAAAGCGAGCGCAGGCGGUUUUUUAGGUCUGAUGUGAAAGCCUUCGGCUUAACCGGAGAAGUGCAUCGGAAACCGGGAGACUUGAGUGCAGAAGAGGACAGUGGAACUCCAUGUGUAGCGGUGAAAUGCGUAGAUAUAUGGAAGAACACCAGUGGCGAAGGCGGCUGUCUGGUCUGCAACUGACGCUGAGGCUCGAAAGCAUGGGUAGCGAACAGGAUUAGAUACCCUGGUAGUCCAUGCCGUAAACGAUGAGUGCUAAGUGUUGGAGGGUUUUCCGCCCUUCAGUGCUGCAGCUAACGCAUUAAGCACUCCGCCUGGGGGAGUACGACCGCAAGGUGAAAC
rnacentral:rRNA from 1 species